CUUUAAAAUCAGGAAGAAAGUUUCAGGACUCACGGAGACCUAGGCUGCCCUUCUGAGGAAAGGACAUGGGCUUGUGUCACUUGCUAGUUGGUAGGCGCUCAGCUGAGUCACAGACAGGUGAGGCUAUCAGAUUCCUCUCUUUCAGCCCUAGGAAGCUUUGCUCUAUCUAGAAGGCAACAUCAUUUAGGUUUCUAGAAGGAACCCUCCUGAUACCAUACACUACUUCAUUCUUAAUCCGUGGAAAAUAGUCAUGGCACAGUUAAAGCAUCAUGCUGGAAACAGGUCAUGAAGAAAGUCACCUUCUAGAAAGGCAUCUCCAAUGAGAUUCUUCAUUGUGUCUGGGGCCUUGCCAAGAAGCAGUGACCAGUGUGAGCCAAAAGAGUGGAAGGCCAAAAUGCAGAGUCCUGGCUCCUUCUGAAGAGCCAAUUCAGCACAUACAGUAUCUCUGCAGGUCCUUCACACCACCAGAAUAAACUGUCAUUCGGGAGGCCAGGACCAGCAGACUGCGUGUUGAAGAGGUGAGAAUGAGGGCUCCGAGCCAGGACAGUGUCUGUGUCACAGCACUAGGCCCAAGCAGCAGUACACCAGAAAACACACCCCUCCCCUCCACGUGGUGAGAGAGCGCUCAACACAACCUCUUCCUAAGCUAACGUAACUGAUGGGGCUCUCUUAAGCAGCCGCUGGACUACAGCUGAGGCCAACUGGAGCAUGCCCGAUGACGUCCACAGAUCCCAAGAUGGGGGCCAAGAUGUGGAUACCCUGCUGCCAGCCCUCGCUAGCCUAGGGUUACCUGGUCACCUAUAGGCUCUGGAGUUUUGGUGAAGGAUGAGGAAGCUAAACUUUCACUUCCUUGAGUUUUCACGUAUCCAAGGGCACAGGCAACUUAGAGGCACCUUGGAUUUCUCCUCCCCUGACUCCUCCACCCAAAGCCGGCUUCACUGUGGGUUGGAUUUACAUAAAAGACCGGCACAUGAUAAUUGUGAUGAUUGAUCACCGAAGUUUCCUUGGGUUCAGAUUGUUUCCUAAUGUGGGUCAUUUUUCAUCAUAAAGAGUCGGCUGAUAAUGAUGUCAUUUCCAUUGCUUGAAUUUCGAGGCAGUGGCCACAUAUCAGAGUUUAACUGACUGUCUAUAGGGCAGCAAAACCGUGUCGUUAUCAGUUUAAAGCAGUUGCUACUUUACUUGUGGGGACAAAGCGAGAAUUGGGGCCUCCUGCAACUCAUCGCACAAGAGCAGGGAUGCCAGGAAUACAAACCUG